rnacentral:rRNA from 1 species
AUGGCUCAGGAUGAACGCUGGCGGCGUGCUUAACACAUGCAAGUCGAACGGAGUUACAUGAAACCUAGUGAUUGUAAACUAGUGGCGGACGGGUGAGUAACGCGUGGGUAACCUGCCUUAUCCAGGGGGAUAACAGUGAGAAAUUACUGCUAAUACCGCAUAAGCGCACAGAAUCGCAUGAUACAGUGUGAAAAGAUUUAUCGGGAUAAGAUGGACCCGCGUCUGAUUAGCUAGUUGGUGAGGUAACGGCCCACCAAGGCGACGAUCAGUAGCCGGCCUGAGAGGGUGAACGGCCACAUUGGGACUGAGACACGGCCCAAACUCCUACGGGAGGCAGCAGUGGGGAAUAUUGCACAAUGGGGGAAACCCUGAUGCAGCCGACGCCGCGUGAGUGAUGAAGUAUUUCGGUAUGUAAAGCUCUAUCAGCAGGGAAGAAAAUGACGGUACCUGACUAAGAAGCCCCGGCUAACUACGUGCCAGCAGCAGC